rnacentral:rRNA from 1 species
GCAUUGAGGCAGUCAAAGUAGGCAAAUCCGCUUUGAUAAUGCUGGGAUGUGAUGGGGAGCGAAAUUUAGUAGCGAAGUAGCUGAUUUCACACUGUCAAGAAAAGUCUCUAUCGAGGUUAAAGGUACCCGUACCGCAAACCGACACAGGUGGGUGAGGAGAGUAUCCUAAGGCCAGCGAGAGAACUGUUGUUAAGGAACUCGGCAAAAUGACCCCGUAACUUAGGGAUAAGGGGUGCCACCAUCAGGUGGCCGCAGAGAAUAGGCCCAAGCGACUGUUUACCAAAAACAUAGGUUUCUGCUAAGUCGCAAGACGAUGUAUAGGAGCUGACGCCUGCCCGGUGCUGGAAGGUUAAGGGGAUCUGUUAGAGCAAUCGAAGCAGUGAACUUAAGCCCCAGUAAACGGCGGCCGUAACUAUAACGGUCCUAAGGUAGCGAAAUUCCUUGUCGGGUAAGUUCCGACCCGCACGAAAGGCGUAACGAUUUGGGCACUGUCUCAACAACAGACUCGGUGAAAUUGUAAUUCCGGUGAAGAUGCCGGAUACCUGCGACAGGACGGAAAGACCCCAUGGAGCUUUACUGUAGCUUGACAUUGGGUCUUGGUACUACAUGUACAGGAUAGGUGGGAGGCUUUGAAACCAGGACGCCAGUUUUGGCGGAGCCAUCCUUGGGAUACCACCCUUGUAGUACUGGGACUCUAACCAUAGGCCAUGAAUCUGGUCUUGGGACACUGUCAGGUGGGCAGUUUGACUGGGGCGGUCGCCUCCCAAAAGGUAACGGAGGCGCUCAAAGGUUCUCUCAGUACGGUCGGAAAUCGUACGUAGAGUGUAAAGGCAAAAGAGAGCUUGAUUGCAAGACAUACAGGUCGAGCAAGGAUGAAAAUCGGACUUAGUGAUCCGGUGGUUCUGCGUGGAAGGGCCAUCGCUCAACGGAUAAAAGCUACCCUGGGGAUAACAGGCUUAUCUCCCCCAAGAGUCCACAUCGACGGGGAGGUUUGGCACCUCGAUGUCGGCUCAUCACAUCCUGGGGCUGUAGUAGGUCCCAAGGGUUGGGCUGUUCGCCCAUUAAAGUGGUACGCGAGCUGGGUUCAGAACGUCGUGAGACAGUUCGGUCCCUAUCCGUCGCAGGCGUAGGAAAUUUGAGAAGACCUGUCCUUAGUACGAGAGGACCGGGAUGGACGUACCUCUGGUGUACCAGUUGUCCUGCCAAGGGCAUGGCUGGGUAGCUAUGUACGGAAUGGAUAAGCGCUGAAAGCAUCUAAGCGCGAAGCCAACUUCAAGAUAAGAUUUCCCACCGCAAGGGUAAGACCCCAGAAAGACUAUCUGGUUGAUAGGUCGAAGGUGUAAGUGCAGCAAUGUAUUUAGCUUAUCGAUACUAAUAGGUCGAGGACUUGACCAA